ensembl:rRNA 5S_rRNA 5S ribosomal RNA
GUCUACAGCCAUACCACAAUGAACGCGCCCGAUCUCGUCUGAUCUCAGAAGCCAAAGUGGGUUCUGGGGCCCAAGUACCUGGGCCAUCUGCUGCCU